CAUGACUCAUCCUGGGUUUUUUAUUCUUUUUUUUUUUUUUGCCCCUUUUUAAGGAUUUGAAAGAAAAGAAGGAAGUUGUGGAAGAAACAGAAAAUGGCAGGGAUGCUCCCGCCAACGGCAAUGCCAACGAGGAAAAUGGCGAGCAGGAGGCGGACAACGAGGUAGAUGACGAAGAGGAAGAGGUUGGCGACGAAGAGGAGGAUGAGGAAGAAGGUGACGGCGAAGAAGAGGACGGCGAUGAAGAUGACGAGACCGAAGGUCCGACCGGAAAACGGGCAGCUGAGGACGAUGAGGUGAGGGCAUCUGGUCUUCCGGCCUCCAUCUCUUACUGCUCAUGGUUUUUAAUAGCUUAUCAAAAUAUAAAAUGCAGAAUUGCAAAGAAAAUAUACAGAAAUAUGAAAUAGAGAAAUGCAAAGAACAUAUACAGAAAUAUAAAAUGCAGAAAUGCAAAGAAAAUAUAUAGAAAUAUAAAAUGCAGAAAUGCAAAGAACAAAUAAAAUGCAGAAAUGCAAGGAAAAUAUACA
rnacentral:lncRNA from 1 species